rnacentral:rRNA from 1 species
CGCGUAGGCGGUCUGUUAAGUCUGAAGUGAAAGUCCUGCUUUCAAGGUGGGAAUUGCUUUGGAUACUGAUGGACUUGAGUGCAGGAGAGGUAAGUGGAAUUCCCAGUGUAGCGGUGAAAUGCGUAGAGAUUGGGAGGAACACCAGUGGCGAAGGCGACUUACUGGACUGUAACUGACGCUGAGGCGCGAAAGUGUGGGGAGCAAACA